GGAGGAGGAGACUGAGAGGGACGCCCUGAAGACGGUGGAGGAGAGCGUUGUGAGAUUGGUGGGGAAGGAGAAGGGCGUGGAGGAGGAACAGAUGAAGGAGGUGGAGGGGAAGAAGGCAAUGGUGGUGGAGGAGACGCUUGUGGUGGCUGCACGGACGGUGGCGGCGGUGAAGUUGAAGGAGGAGGUGAAGGGAUCACUGGCUGUGGCGGUGGGAGAGAGGUCUCAGGUGGUUUAGGCAGAGGAGGAGGAGCAUCAUUUGGUGGCGGUGGUGAUGUCACCGGUGGUGGUGUGGCCGGAGGAGGAGACUGAGACGGUGGAGGUGAAGUAGCAUUGUUAGUCGGAAGAGAACUGCCCAACGGCGGAGAAACAACCGGUGGAGGCGGUGGAGAAGUUGAAACAGGAGGCUGAGCCGGCGUUGUUGCCAUCUAAAAAUUCCGACAAGCUACAAAUCUAUCACCGACAAGCUUCUGGGUCCAUCAAAAAACCUCAAAUUCUCAAACUUUGGUCGGAGAGAUGAUUGGGAUCACUUUCAAACCUAAAAAUGCAGAGUUUUGAGUAAGACAGUCUCCUGAAAGCACCAAACUUUCACCAACCCUAACAACACUAAACGUGACGAAGCGGCAAUCUUUCCAGAUCAAACACACACAGCUUAAACCCUAAAUUACUCAAAACAUCUAAAGCUUCUUCAGAUCUCCUUUGAACCUCAGAUCUAUCUGUAAGAGCUUUCUUCACUCAAACACCAUAACUGAAACAAACAAAAAAGAAUAU